rnacentral:rRNA from 1 species
AGCACGUAUGGUGGGCACUCUAAGGAGACUGCCGGUGACAAACCGGAGGAAGGUGGGGAUGACGUCAAGUCAUCAUGGCCCUUACGGCCUGGGCUACACACGUGCUACAAUGGUCGGUACAAAGGGUUGCCAAGGCCGCGAGGUGGAGCUAAUCCCAUAAAACCGAUCGUAGUCCGGAUCGCAGUCUGCAACUCGACUGCGUGAAGUCGGAAUCGCUAGUAAUCGUGAAUCAGAAUGUCACGGUGAAUACGUUCCCGGGCCUU